rnacentral:rRNA from 1 species
GAAUGGCAUGGGAAGGCCAACCAAAGAGUGUGAGAGUCACGUAGAUGAAAACGGCGAGAGCUGCGCGAGUUCCAGAGUACGGCCAGACACGUGAAACCUGGUCGGAAGAUGGGGGGACCACCCUCCAACCCUAAAUACUACCCAGUGACCGAUAGCGUAUAGUACUGUGAAGGAAAGGUGAAAAGGACCCCGGGAGGGGAGUGAAAUAGAACCUGAAACCUUGUGCCUACAAGCACAUAGAGCACAUCAACGUGUGAUAUGGUACUUUUUGUAGAACGGUCCGGCGAGCGAUUGUAUGUUGCGAGCUUAAGGUCUUAAGGACUGGAGGCGUAGCGAGAGCGGGUCUGAAGAGGGCGUUCAGUAACAUGCAAUGGGCCCGAAACCGGGUGACCUACCCAUGAUCAGGCUGAAGUGAAAGUAAAAUUUCAUGGAGGGCCGAACCGACCUCCGUUGAAAAGGCGGCGGAUGAAUUGUGGGUAGCGGAGAAAUUCCAAUCGAACUCGGAGAUAGCUGGUUCUCCCCGAAAUAGCUUUAGGGCUAGCCUCAUAUUAGAUACCCGGAGGUAAAGCACUGAAUGGCCUAGCGCCCGAGAGGGUAGCGAAGCCUAUCAAACUAAGAAUGCCGGAGUAUUGAUGUAUGGGAGUCAGACAGUGUGAGAUAAAUCUCAUUGUCAAAAGGGAAACAGCCCAGAUCUACAGCUAAGGUCCCAAAUUGUAUCUAAGUGGAAAACGAUGUGGAAAUACGCAGACAACCAGGAUGUUGGCUCAGAAGCAGCCACUCAUUUAAAGAGUGCGUAAUAGCUCACUGGUCGAGCGUCUCUGCGCGGAAAAUUUAACGGGGCUAAGAUACAAACCGAAGCUUAGGCUGCACGUAAGUGCGGGGUAGGGGAGCGUUGUGUAAGCGGAGAAACAGUAGCGUAAGCGGCUGUGGAGUUUACAGAAGUGAGAAUGCCGGAAUGAGUAGCGCGAAUGUGGUGAGAAUCCACAUGGCCGGAAACCUCAGGUUUUUGGAGGAAGGUUCGUCCGCUCCAAGUUAGGCGGGAGCUAAGGUCAGGCCGAAAGGCGUAGCCGAUGCACAGACGGUAGAGAUUCCGUCCCCACCGAACGAUUUAAGCACAGGGACACUUUUUGAAGGUCGGAGCCAGGUGUUGGUUCUGGUAGUGAUCGAGGGAAAUAUAGUACCGAAGUCCGGCUGGAGAAGAGGCGAGAAAAGCUGUGUGUAUAUCUAAGGUGCCCGUACCGCAAACCGACACAGGUAGGUAGGAAGAAGAUUCUAAGGCCAACGGGAGAAGGGUUGUUAAGGAACUCGGCAAGUUGACCCCGUAACUUCGGAAUAAGGGGUGCUCACGAGAGUGAGCCGCAGAGAAUAGGCCCAGGCAACUGUUUACCAAAAACACAGGUUUGUGCUAAAUCGAAAGAUGACGUAUACGAGCUGACGCCUGCCCGGUGCUGGAAGGUUAAAAGGAGAUGUGCAAGCAUUGAAUUGAAGCCCCAGUGAACGGCGGCCGUAACUAUAACGGUCCUAAGGUAGCGAAAUUCCUUGUCAGGUAAGUUCUGACCCGCAUGAAAGGCGUAAUGAUCUGGGCACUGUCUCAACAGCCCGCCCGGCGAAAUUGUAGUACCGGUGAAGAUGCCGGUUACCCGCGACAAGACGGAAAGACCCCAUGGAGCUUUACUGUAGCCUGAUAUUGGGUUUCGGUGUUGCAUGCACAGGAUAGAUGGGACGCUAGGAAAGAAGCGCUUUGGCGUUUCUGGAGCGGACGUUGGGAUACCAUCCUUGCGACAUUGGAAUUCUAACCUGCGCCUCUGAAUCGGGGCGGGGGACAUUGUCCGGUGGGCCGUUUGACUGGGGCGGUCGCCUCCUAAAAAGUAGCGGAGGCGUUCACAGGUUCGUUC